GAGACAAAACGAAACAGCAGUGUUUGUAGUGUGGGCUAUAAGUAGACCAGUGUAUCAGUGCAAUCAAGUACACCUGCCUCUAAUUAGUCCAACCUGAUUCGAGCCAUUGGCUAACCAAAAAUGUGACACACACAACGCCACUCCCAACCCAGUGCAACUUCACACAAUAAUAUGGAGCUGAAUUAACACAGGCACAUUAGUCUACCAUAUUACAAGCUGCAUGCUAUUAAAAGCCAACAUAUGCAGACUUCUGCCUUGUUCGGGUGGCAGCAUUUUUUUUUUUUCUUUUUUCUUUUGUGUCCUGACACGUUUAUGUUUUAUGUUUUUGUUUGAUUAUUUUGUUGAUUUUGGAAACGAAUUUAAACGAACUUGUGACAAUACUUGAGAAUCACAGUGACACAUGGUGAUUAGGCAUAUGAUUGAAAAAUGCCUAGGUUUAGAGCUGUGAGCUAUGAGCUAUGAAAAAUGCAAAGUUAAAUAUAUAUAUAUAUUUGUAUAAAUGGAAAACAACCUUAUCUUGAAAGUUUGAAAUGUGUGAGAUCCAUGAAUUGUUUGAAGAACUAGAACCGUGGAGAGGAAGGUCACUUCACACGAGAUUGUAGGGGUAGGCCACAGAGAAAUAAUGCAAAACAGUUCUGAGGCAGCCACUUACAGUUUUCAAAGGACAAAUUAGUUGUAAAGUCAGCUUCAGGCCACACAACUGUACAACAAUUAACUGCCCCUUUAGAACUAGUACAUACAGCAAGUGGCCGCAGGUGCUUUAUUAAAUGCAUAUAUGACCCGUCGUGUCCAGUAAAGUUGUUAAGUAGAGACGCUCUGACAAAACUUAAGAUAGCAGUCAUGCCAUUCUUUUCUGGUAUUACACCUGAGUGCAUACUAAAUGACACCCGCCACAUCCACUUUCCAGAAACUGACCGAGUAUCACAACAUUCUGCGAUUUAAACAAACCCCAGGCCCAGAUCCACCUUAUGAUCAGCAAGUGUGGAAGCUAGGAGAACAGCAUUUGACCUUACAGCACAGGCCUAAAUUGUGUAGGUUACGCAGUAACAACAGAUAGUAAAAUAAUAGAAGCAAAACCGUUUUCUUCUUCAUGUUCUGCACAGAGCGCUGAGCUGAUAGCUGUGAUACGCGAAAGCUAAAUACAAAAAGACAAACUAAUAAACAUACAUACAGACAGCCAGUAUGUUUUCUCUGCUGUGCAUCAUUUUGCAAAAAAUUUGGCAUAAACUGACUCUUUCAUUACUACAGGCAACAAUUUUGCAGACAGAGCAGCAAAACAGGCGGCACAAAAGACAAACAUAACAUUGAUGGCAGUAAACACACAUCAGAUUUCACUGGAUGUGUUGCAAAAUGAACAAAAAGCAGCAAGCACAGCAGAGCAGGCAAAAUGGCUAAAACACGGUGCAGUUCUGACAAACAACUUAAUGAUGUGUUAUGGCAAGCCAGUGUUGCCAAAAAUUCCUCCACGAAAUGGCGGCAUUAGUGACUCAUGGCUGUACGCAUUUGUCAACGGGGGGAAUGCCCUGUAUUGUCAACUCUCAUUUCUACACUAUAAAUUUUGAAACCUCAGCAAAACAAUUUGUCAGAACAUGCAUGACCUGUCGAAAAUAUAAUGCUCAGGGAAACCUGAGACCACACAAUCCAUAUGGACUUUAUUGAGCUAAAGGAAUGCCAAGGGUAAAAAUACGCCCUAGUGGUUAUAGAUGUAUUCUCAAAGUGGCCAGAAAUCUACCCAGUGAAAAAGGCAGAUAUAAUUUCAGUAGCAAAAUGUAUGUCUAAGUUGUAGGAAAAUAAAGAGAUGAUUGUAAAUGACGAAGAAUGUAAUGAUGUCUAUCAAGUGUCUUGCAGAUCACAGCCCGGUGACUGGGUUAUGAUCAAAGUGCUCCAAAGGAAAAACUGGAGCUUGCAAAAUAGCGGAACGACCAUCUUGCAUCCAUCAGAGUCACUGCAGGCGAGUAAGUGAAGCCAUCUAAACACAGCUGACAGCAGGCGUGCCCACUUGUUGUGAUCUCGCCCGGUGGAGGGGUCAGCUUUCCUGGCCGGGGGGAACUAUUCGCGACAGGAGGGUGUGUCCCGUCGUCAUGCGGUGGUGGCUUUUGAUAACUGCAGCGGCCCUGACCGUGGCCGGGCUCCUCAUCUUUGCUUCCGUGAGGGACAAUAAGUCACGCUAUAUGAAGAAAAGGCAGACACUGUAUGACAAAGGAAAGUACACCAAGUUUCCCCAUGGCUAUGCCACUAAUUUCUGGUGGCAGUUUAUGAACACUACAGCUUACUGGAAUAAUAAAACUGACUGCUAUGCAUGUACCCGGAAAGUACACCAAGUUUAUGAACACUACAGCUUACUGGAAUAAUAAAACUGACUGCUAUGCAAAUACAUACACACUUUCUGCCCACCGAGGAACGAGAGGAAGUGUAUGGACUGUUCACUCAACGAAACCUGUGCCAGUAACGCGACACUGAUGAGCCUCAACUGUCGCUCCAACUACAGCUACCAAAUGAUACUACAAACAAAGACUCAUUACCAGACAGGAUGUGCACGGACGGCACCAAGCAGUAAAGGAACCAGAGUUUCGCAUCUGAGGAGGAGUGAAAUUCUUACAGAGCUUGAUCCCCGGCAUUGGAGCUGCCGAGGUGCGGGAUCACGUGGAAAUCAACCGAUAUGCUCUGCUACGACGCAUCAACUUUGACAAAGACCCUGGGACCGGCUUUAGCAGGAGAACAGAAGGCCAUCAGAACGAUGGUGUUGCAGAACAGACUGACACUAGACCUGCUAACAGCAUCACAAGGAGGAGUAUGUAAGCGGAGACACUUAUGAAGCUUUGCAGAAUUUGACCAUUCUGCAGAAAUAUGUCACUGACCACACAUCUGGAGCAGCUACACCGCCAUGUCUAAGACUAAUUAUUUCAAAGAUGAUAACAACUACAAUGACUGCUUAUGUUGCCCUGCCUCAAGAAGAACAGCAUCCCGUUGCAAUUCUGUUAGAGGAGAACUUGUAAUAACUGCUAAUGACUGACGUGGUGAUUAAAUAUGACUUGUCAAGUGAUCACGCACUGAUUAACACAUUAGUAGUUUAUGCAGGUUUUCAUCAUUUUACCUAUAAGGUUUUCAUUCUUUUAUUUUUUGAAGUUUUCAUUUUAAAUAUUAGGUUUUCAUCAUUUUUAAAUACCAAGCUAUGAUUUUCUUUGUUCUUUUUAUUAUUUUAUUUUGUUUUAUUCUUUAGACCAAAUGAUUUCCAUAUCUGCUUUGCUGACAUUUUGAAAAUUAAAAAAAUGGCUUAAUAUACUUAAUAAAUAACCUUCACAGACAAUUGUUGUAUACAUUUUAAACAUGUGAAAUAUAUUAACAUCAGGAGGGAAUGUCAGAGGAUUUUUAUUAAAUACAAAUCAUUGAGUGUAAUCAAGUAAAAACAAAUAUGCUUUUUAUUCAAAUGCAAUAUAACCAAGUAUGCCUUAUAACCGAGUGUUCAUAUAUUUUCACAUAACCAAGCUUAUUGUUAAAAGAGAACACAAUGCAUUCCUUGCUUAAGUGUUUAAGAUGUUUUGACAAGACAUGAUAUAUUUCUGUAUCCUUACUUUAAGCGUGAAAGAUCAGAUAAGCAUGAUAUAUUUCUGUAUUCUUAUUUUAGUGUGUGAAAGAUCAGAUAAGCUGACUCUAUGUCUGAACUUUAUGUCUGAACUUUAUGUCUGAACUCUCCUCUUUUCUGGUAAAAGAGGAAGUACUGUUACCCAUUUUUUGCCUUAUAAAUAAAGCAAGCAGCCUGUACUCGGUGUGUCUGUCUUCUCAGAGGCAUUCACCCGUGUACACGUUCUUAAACUCUGA
ensembl:lncRNA